rnacentral:tRNA from 1 species
AGCUUCUUAGCGCAGUGGAAGCGCGCGGGGCUCAUACCUCACCCCGAGGUCCUCGGAUCGAGACCGAGAGAAGCUA